rfam:Myotis davidii contig128158, whole genome shotgun sequence.
GGCAGUUCUCAGGUGAGACACUCCAGAAUAAGGCUCCCUCCUCUCUGGUUCUGGGUGCAUCACCCGAGAACUGCA